AAGAUGUUUCGUCCAAUUUCAGUCUUUUAAAAUUCAUUGAGUUGUUCUUGGCCUAACAUAUGGUCUGUGCUGCAGAAUGUUCCAUGUGCUCUUGAGAACAAUGUGUAUUUUGCUGUCUGUGGAAUGUUCAGUAUAUGUCUGUGGGGUCUGGUGGGUCUACAGUGUUGUUCAGCCCUCUGUUCCAGAUGCGUGCCUGUCUGGUUGAUCUGUUUGGGGGUACAUGUGAAGAACAUGCAAGAUUGUUGCAUAGCAGGAUACUGCUCUUGGAUGGCUGUGGAAUGCUGAG
rnacentral:lncRNA from 1 species